rnacentral:rRNA from 1 species
GAUGAACGCUGGCGGCGUGCUUAACACAUGCAAGUCGAACGGAAAGGCCCAAGCUUGCUUGGGUACUCGAGUGGCGAACGGGUGAGUAACACGUGGGUGAUCUGCCCUGCACUUCGGGAUAAGCCUGGGAAACUGGGUCUAAUACCGGAUAGGACGAUGGUUUGGAUGCCAUUGUGGAAAGUUUUUGCGGUGUGGGAUGAGCUCGCGGCCUAUCAGCUUGUUGGUGGGGUAUUGGCCUACCAAGGCGUCGACGGGGAGCCGGCCUGCGAGGGUGUACGGCCACAUUGGGACUGUGAUACGGGCCAGACUCCGACGGGAGGCAGCAGGGGGGAAUAUUGCACAAUGGGCGCAAGCCUGAGGCAGCGACGCCGCGUGGGGGAUGACGGCCUUCGGGUUGUAAACACCUUUCGCUAGGGACGAGGCGUUUUUGUGACGGUACCUGGAGAAGAAGCACCGGCUAACUACGUG